GCGACUGGAGGGACGACAUUGCGAUAAAUUUUAGAUUUGAGACGUUCGUUGAUACGUCGAUCACAAAGAACACCAGUUGUGGAACGCCACUUCAUCCAGGUUUUUUACCAUAGAUAUGUAUUGUAAUCGGUUCAUGAAAGUCUACAUUCGAAACUCGUAUCAAGUUUUUCCGUCAGGUUUUAUGAUAUUUCUUCAUAUUUUCAAUUUACCUUUCAUUGGCUGUGUCCCAGUUGUAGUUCACAAGGUUCACGAUCGCGACCGGGAUGGUUUCUUUUCCAUUUGAUUGUGGUGAUUGUGAUGCAUGCUUCAAAUGGAAUGGCGUCGCGGGUUAAACUGUCAUUAUAUUAUAUACGACUUAUGGAGACGCUCGUGCCCUUCCUCUACUGCUCUGCGUUAAAUAUCCUUGGGGCGAUCCACUUGUCGGCCAUCUGGGGAGAGUGGCUUCCACUGCAUGCCGUAACCCGCAAUGCAAUUGUCGCCCCUCCUUAAUGUGUGACCUAUUAACUGCCACUUUGAACAAUAUCGCGUACCGGUACCAGGCUUGUGCGACGACCAAGUUCUGUGCUUGAGAUAGUGUCAGACCAGCAUACUCCAAAAAUACGUCGAAGACAGAUACUGACAAAAGGUUUAAGCUUUUGGGCAGCAGUUGAAUUCACUUUCACAAGAUGUCAUUAAAUUCCGCCACGUCCUUAGGACAAGGUAGCGAGAAGAACGUCACCAAUAACAAAACAAAAUAACAUCAGUAGCAGGAUGCUACCCCGACGGACUCCGCUUUAGACCUCAAAAUCCUCCGAGAUUUUAUCUCGGUGCAUUUUUUACCUCGGACAUUUUGCGCCAUCAUAUGUCAAUCUGAUAAUAGGUAUCAGUUCCUUCGGAAUGCCCCUCCUGCGUAGAGCGCUCCAGAUAUUCUCCCUGUUCACGCUAUCGAAAGCUUUCUCUAAUGAUGAUGAAAAGCAGGCGCAGCGAAGAUCUAAACUCAGCGCACUGCUCCAAAACAAUCCCUAGGAUAUUGAUGUGGUCAAUGCAGAAAGAUCCGGAGCGGAAACUAACCUGCUCUUUGUCGAUCAAGCUUUCCAGAUGUUCUUUGAUGCGUUUCAGGAUUAUUUUAGCUAUAAUUUUUGCGAUAUCAAGAAACACGCAGAUACCCUUCCAAUUGUCACAAUCAAAACGGGUUCCCUUCUUUGGAAUCUUCAUGAUCAUCCCCUUCUUCCACUCUCUGGAAAAGAUCUUGGAUUCCCAACAUUUCGGUAUGAGUAGAAACAGCAGAUCUGCAGUAACUGCGGGGGCAGCGAUAAAUAACUCUGCGCGGAGAUUGUCAAGCCCCGCGGAUUCACCCUCUUUGAGUGUAUUGGUGGCAGAAAUGAUUUCUCUUCUGCUUGAAGGAGCAGUCCGCAUGCGCAUAUUACGGUGACUAGCCAUUUCACCCACAAGGCGAGGAAUCUCACCGAUGUGAUAUGGUUAAGAACCCCGGUGGAGUUUUCUUUCCACGUCUUCAGUUUUCCAGUAUCAUGGAUAAAAAUUCGAACGUUGAUAUCCUUCACAGAAUCAUCGAAAAAGUUGCGACCACAUACCAGCUCUUUCGUGAUGUGGUAUACAUUUCUGAAAUCAUUGCGAUCUCCGGUAUAUUCCGCCUUCCUGUCCAGCGUAAUAUCAUAUUCCCUCUUGUCACGGCGCGCGUACACUACGCUCAACUUCUCGAGGUUUCACUCGGUAUUGGUAUCGCAGUAGUCAGUAGAGCCGUCUGUUCAUCGAUCCGCUGGCCGACGAUCUGCCCAGCACCUGAGAAAAGAAAAUUUUUGAUGGCAGCCCAGUGCUCAGCGACAUUCUCAGGCGGAUUACUUAGUAUAGUCCUAUCAACAAGAUAGCUCUCCCACUGUCAAGCAAUACCUGGGUCAUGCAACCGGUCGACUUUGAAUUUGAGGGUCGCAGCUCCCUGAGCUGCAUUUAACUACUCGUAGAAAGCAUAAUUCUCCAUUAUAUCGGAAGUCUCCGUUCGUGCGUUGCAUUGUACAAUCAUGAUGUCCCUUAACUUGGACAGGAAUUCUGCAGUUAGAAGUCGAUCAGAAAUAGGCCCUCAGAUCAAAGAGCGCGCAUUCCGGUAGUCGCCAGAAACAACCCGACGCCAGAUUUACAUCUGCUACCUCUUCCCUUUCCCAGAUUGCCACAAAAGGGAGAGGAACAUUCUUUAGAGUCCCACCAUCUCACUUCCCUUAGGACCAGAAUGUCAAGCUUUUAUCGUUGGAAUUCCUGCUCAAGUUGAAAAAAGCGAGCAUUCUGAGGACCCUCGUUACCGCUGUAGAGGAGCGUGCGCAGAUUUCACAAACCAAUCAGUUUUCGAUAGCGAAAGAUCGUUGUCGUGAGGUCAGUUCCUAUCUGAUACGUUGUUGACGUUUCGGUAGCAAUCAAGUUUGACACCUAGACUCCCAAACUAUAUACCAUUUUGAAGCUCAGACUCUUUACCAAUAGUAGUGAUCACAAACUAAGCCCCUUUUUGCGAAAUUCUCAAUAUUAAGGGAAAUACAAACGUUUAAAGUUUUUCCCAAGAUUUCUCCAAAUUUCAGAAAUUUUUCUGCCACUUGCAGGAUUCUGGCCCACAAUUUCUAUCACUUUUAGGUGCCUUUUACUAUAAGCAGGGAAGACAGGAUAAGCCCCAACUCACAGGGCGCAAGAACUGUCAUUUGACUACCAAUCAGCCAAUAUGGGUCACUUCGAGCCAAACACACGGACGUCAAAUGGAACGACCUUGGAUACAGGAUAUCUAAUAGGCAAUACCCACAUUUAGCGGUUCCGCAUUUGGGUAGCUUAUCCGUACACAUCAUAAGCAUCCAGCAGUGUCUACCUGCCGUUUGGUAUCUAUAAUGUGUAAAAUAGGUUCCCCUAAUUCAUUUGGAAGUCCGAAUUGCUGACAUCUAUUGUUUUAUUCGUGAGCUUUAUUUGCUCCAUUGAUCCGACUGUCCACCUAAGAUAACCGGAAAUAAAACCAAUGAUGGAGGAGCAUAAGAAAAAGUUACAGCACAGGGCAGGAAACCCAGAAGUGUACGGUUUUUGGGAGUUGGUAGGAAAGGCAGAAGAAAAACCGGAAGAAAGGAGGCGUGAAAGGUUAAACGAAUCAGCAAGCCAGUAAAUCCCGGAAAAGAAGGGCUCAACUCCCAAAAUCGAGCAGGUAAAGAGAACGGGUGAAACCCCGAGGGCUUCAUAUGCUGGGUGAUGAGUUGAAAGUUUCGAGACUCCCUCCAAAUUAAGCUCCUGACGAAGCAAAUUUGUCAAACCGGUCAACACAGGCUGACCCUGCUUCUGAAGCGGACGAAAGCUAAAGAAGGUAAACAUGUAGCCACAAUUCUAAAGAAAAAAGUGAAUCUCUCAAGAGGGAUGCGGAUGCCUAGAGAAAGGUGGUACCCAGGGAAAGGAGAAAUCAGAGGAAGCUAAUACCGGAGGUUAUCAUCAUCUUCAAACAUGGUGAAGGAUAUAUGCACUAACAUUAUCAGAAGAGUAUAAUGUAAAUAAUUACAAUUUUCUUUUUUGCUGGUAUUUAUAUUGAUAUGUUUUAUAGCAUUGCAGAUGACCGCAAAUUGUUCCCGAAAUAUUAUCAAAAAAAUCAUCCAGUUAUUAACGUUAUUUUAGUCGGUAGAAGUACCCCAAGACUCCACUCUGUUAACACACAGCCGCAUGAAGAUGUGUCAGCCUAAGGACUAGGCGGCACUGAAGUGGUGCCUCAGAUACUUUUGGUUUCGGUCAUACUGCAAAAGCAUGUACCAGUUUGAAAGAAUGAUGGAAGCAAUGCAAAAGAUCUGGAGUGGAAGACCUUACCAACAAGGACUGUGGAGUUGACCGAAAUUGCUUGCUGUGCAAAGGGAAGGAGGGUGUGGGCGAUCGGCACAUUGCAGACAGCCAAUGUCCAGAAUAUCACAGAUUAAAUUGAUACAAAUCAACCUCAACCACUACCAGACGGUUCAGGACUUUCUCUCACAUACCAUCCGAUAAAAGAUAUCGAUAUGCCAUAAUUAGUGAGCCAUAUCGAAAUCACGGUGGUAGAAUUUGAGUCAAAGGUAAAACAGGCCAAGCGCAGCAGCAGAAUUAAUAGAGCACGCAGAUGAAAAUUUCAUGAGAGCGAAGGUGAAAGGAGUUCACAUAUACAACUGCUAUGCUCUACUUAGCGAUUGCAGGGGGUUCCAUAAACUAACAGUUCCCUUCCUUCUUUUUCCUCCCGUUGGUAAAUGGAAUUCCCAGAGUUGAAAGCUCCCCACAGCGGGGAAGCUCGAAGGCUGGACCAAAGUAACGUAACAAAAGAUUCCAGGCUAAUUCUCACUCGAUGGGGGAGUGUUUAGUUGGUAGUCUGACGGCGUAUCGUUCAGGAGUAUAACACUUUGUACAUAGACCUAUUUACCAACCCUACCGUCCGAAAAAGAUUUCUCUACGUAGCGCACCACGACGAAGGAGAAAAAGUACGGCCUGAGUUGUCUGGAAAUGAUUUUGGCCACUCUGUUUUCUCACCACCAAAGCGGUGAAAUGCAAACGGUGAUUCAGCUCAACAAGUGCGUGAUACCUUUAGUAACCGAGGAAGACUUCCGGGGAUGUGUGGUAGGAUCGUCUACAACAAGGCCCCAGGUUUGGAAGACAUCUCUAAUGGAGCUUUCAAGCUAGCAGUGGAGACUAGGCGUGACCUUUCGCCGACACCUCCAGACCGUGCAUAGAAGAAGCCUAUUCCCUAUUUAGUGGAAAAAGCAGAAGUUGGUAUUCCAGCAUUAUAUCGCUCGAUGUGUCUGUUGGGUACAACAGGAGAGAUGAUAGACGUUUUCUUCUAUAACAAAAGCUAUUCAAAAGCAUCAGUGGCUACCAGCGCCAGUGUGGAUUCGGCGCGCACGUUCCACGGUGGAUGAUUUCUCACGGCUACUGUGUCAUGUUUCCAUUGGAUAUGAAAAAUGCAUUUGGCUUACCUGACAUAUAUGUUGCCGGUUACUUGGCAAGUCUGAUCGAAGAAUACCCCUCAUAGGCGACUCUCUGCCCUAAACGACACAUCGUUAUAUUGGAAGUAACACAGGGCUUCACUUUGGUUCCUCUGCUGCAGAAUGUCAUAUAUUAGGUCUACUGGAAAGUGCUGAGCGCUUAGGUUGCAACAAGCUUUAACAGAUAAUCCAUACUCUGGGUGACUGCUUUUGAUUUUUUCCUUUUAUUUUGAGACCAAAUUAGAGAAAAGAAUUCCUUGAUGACAUUUGAGAUCACAAAAAAAGCUGAAUUCAAUUCGCCAAACCAUUUGGAACUAUAUCCUGAAGCCAGGCUUUAUCUGGAAAUAUUGGGAAUGGGUGUCAUCGUCGUCGAGUCAACAUAUGCAUAUCUCUGCUCGCACGGUACAAAGUCAAACCUUUCUGGGGCCAUAUCACAACUGGAGAUGAAAAGUAGAUUAAAUACAAAAACAUCGUAAGGAGAAGAAAGUGGAGCUCGGUGAACAUACGGUUGACUCAAAGCCAGCUAUCAAGUACCUGAGGGUGAUAAUUGUACUCAGCUUAGAGACCAGAGUAAGCAUACCAAAAGGAAAUUAAAGCCACUGUGGCAAUCGCAAAAAUGUUGCCGAAAGCUGACGGGUUAAAACCCCGCUUCUAGCUGGAGUGGCUCAAUCCAUUCUGCUCCCCUCAUCACUUUUGUGGACGGAGGCACUUGUAAACUCUCAGAAAUGAAAGGGGGUGGAUUCGCCUUAGCUACUAAGGCUUUUAAAACAACAUCAGAUGAACCAGUACUGGUUGUGGCGGGCAUGAUUUCAGUGGACAGAAACAAUUAUUGUGCAUCAUGCAAUACUGUACGUAAAGGACACACAGAAGAAGGGCGCAAGAGUUCGGUAAGGACAGUAUCGCAUGAUUUCUGGCAAUGCACAGACUAAUCCGUAACGUGGCUUGAGCGAAAACAUGGGGAGACCAACUACCAUAUUACCUAAUUCUUCAUGGCAGACGGUAGCUGGUACAGAAAGUAUCUACUUCGCUUUGGGGCGGUUGAUGCACCGAAUUGUCCUGGAUGGAAUGGCAUGAGGAUCAAGGGCAUGUGAUGUUUCGCUACCCAAAGUUGGCAAUGGGGAAAAUAAAUAUCAACGAAGCGCUGGGAAUGAGGAUGAG